GCAGCAGUGGCAGAGUUUGGUUUAAUGCACCGGUUUCGAAAACCGGCGUGUCAUUGACACCGGAGGUUCAAAUCCUUUCUGCUGCGCCA
rnacentral:tRNA from 14 species